UACGUAGGCAGCAAGCGUUGUUCGGAGUUACUGGGCGUAAAGGGUGUGUAGGCGGUCUCGUAAGUCUGGUGUGAAAUCUCCCGGCUCAACUGGGAGGGUGCGCCGGAAACUGCGAGGCUAGAGUGUGGGAUGGGAGAGUGGAAUUCCUGGUGUAGCGGUGAAAUGCGUAGAUAUCAGGAGGAACACCGGUGGCGAAGGCAGGUCUCUGGGCCACUACUGACGCUGAGAAGCGAAAGCGUGGGGAGCGAACAGG
rnacentral:rRNA from 1 species